rnacentral:rRNA from 1 species
GAUGAACGCUGGCGGCGUGCCUAAUACAUGCAAGUAGAACGCUGAAGCUUGGUGCUUGCACCGAGCGGAUGAGUUGCGAACGGGUGAGUAACGCGUAGGUAACCUGCCUGGUAGCGGGGGAUAACUAUUGGAAACGAUAGCUAAUACCGCAUAACAGUAGAUAUUGCAUGAUAUCUGCUUGAAAGGGGCAAUUGCUCCACUACCAGAUGGACCUGCGUUGUAUUAGCUAGUUGGUGAGGUAACGGCUCACCAAGGCGACGAUACAUAGCCGACCUGAGAGGGUGAUCGGCCACACUGGGACUGAGACACGGCCCAGACUCCUACGGGAGGCAGCAGUAGGGAAUCUUCGGCAAUGGACGGAAGUCUGACCGAGCAACGCCGCGUGAGUGAAGAAGGUUUUCGGAUCGUAAAGCUCUGUUGUAAGAGAAGAACGAGUGUGAGAGUGGAAAGUUCACACUGUGACGGAACUACCAGAAAGGACG